GAGUCCAAAUCCAGAAAUGAUACCUAUAAGUAAAUAACAUACCACACUAGCUCCAGUGCUAGUCUGUCCAGUGCCCAGCCAUGGCAGAGAUGAAGGUGGAUGCACCUGACUUGCUGAAUAGGAUGUUGCACUGGGUUGAUAAAGAGUUGUAGUGGAACCACGAUAAUCAACAUCAUCUGAACUGUGAAAAACAUUCAUGUGUUACUGUGAACAUUCCCUUUUCUCUUAACACAAAUUCCAACUAAAAAUCUUCUUAUGUACCCAUAGGACAAUCUUUAUUUUAAAAACUAAGUAGCCAUGAGAAAAACUUAGGUACAAGUCCUAAUCGCCAAUGUUAAUACUGGUUAACUUUUUUCCCUUUUGGCAAAAUGUAAAUUUAGUCUAAUGUUGUUUGGGGACAACUUUAUUGCUGCACAAGUUGAAACAAAAGUUUGUUGUUAUCUAUGGAAAAAUAUUAUGUUCUCUUCAAGUACAGAUAGCUCAGUAUCAAAUUAACACGUUUAAAGAAAUUUGAGUUUAAAGAUUUCUUGGAGUAAGACAUAUAAAAUGUGAAAGUAAUUGUUGGGAUGGAUUGUAUCAUAGUACAUGGUUAUAUCUACUCUGAAAUGUGAUAUUAAAUCCUAGUUAUAUCACAUACUAACAAAAAAAAGAAUUCAACAAAAUGAGGAGAGAAACUAUCAUGGCACCAUCCUCAAGCAUGAACAAUUUCUAAGAGUCUGGAGAAAAGCAGGAGGGAAGGCAAACCACAAAGAAGAAACCUCAAAAUAGGUGACUGCCUUCCUUUCAUCACGAAGGGCCAUUCAAAUUUUCUGCCCAUGCCUCCAGGGACUCCCCUAUGGCUGCUGCAGCUGAUAAAGAUGCAUCCAAGAAAACUUCCAAGGAAUGGUCAAUGUGUGGCACAGCUAACUCAGUGAAGGCCAAACUGCUGAAGAAUCUAUUUGUCUUAACUAGCUGAAUUCACCAAUCUGUUUCCCAAAAACUUGUUUUGUGAAAUAUUUUCCUGUAAUAUCUUCAGUGAAUAAAAGAUCUUAUUCUUAUAAAUAUAUAACUUCA
rnacentral:lncRNA from 1 species